UUUUAUGGAGAGUUUGAUCCUGGCUCAGGAUGAACGCUGGCGGCGUGCCUAAUACAUGCAAGUCGAGCGAACGGACGAGAAGCUUGCUUCUCUGAUGUUAGCGGCGGACGGGUGAGUAACACGUGGAUAACCUACCUAUAAGACUGGGAUAACUUCUGGAAACCGGAGCUAAUACCGGAUAAUAUUUUGAACCGCAUGGUUCAAAAGUGAAAGACGGUCUUGCUGUCACUUAUAGAUGGAUCCGCGCUGCAUUAGCUAGUUGGUAAGGUAACGGCUUACCAAGGCAACGAUGCAUAGCCGACCUGAGAGGGUGAUCGGCCACACUGGAACUGAGACACGGUCCAGACUCCUACGGGAGGCAGCAGUAGGGAAUCUUCCGCAAUGGGCGAAAGCCUGACGGAGCAACGCCGCGUGAGUGAUGAAGGUCUUCGGAUCGUAAAACUCUGUUAUUAGGGAAGAAC
rnacentral:rRNA from 1 species